rnacentral:rRNA from 1 species
AGAGUUUGAUCAUGGCUCAGGACGAACGCUGGCGGCGCGCCUAACACAUGCAAGUCGAGGGAGAACUGAAGAGCUUGCUCUUCGGGGAGACCGGCGAACGGGUGAGUAACACGUGAGGACACCUACCUUGGAGACCGGAAUAACCACUGGAAACGGUGGCUAAUGCCGGAUGAUCUGACCGUCUCGCAUGAGGGGGUCAGCAAAUGGUCCGCCGCUCCAAGAUGGCCUCGCGGCCUAUCAGCUUGUUGGUGAGGUAAUGGCUCACCAAGGCGACGACGGGUAGCCGGCCUGAGAGGGUGACCGGCCACACUGGGACUGAGACACGGCCCAGACUCCUACGGGAGGCAGCAGUGGGGAAUAUUGCACAAUGGGCGAAAGCCUGAUGCAGCGACGCCGCGUGAGGGAUGACGGCCUUCGGGUUGUAAACCUCUUUCAGUAGGGAAGAAGCGAAAGUGACGGUACCUGCAGAAGAAGCGCCGGCUAACUACGUGCCAGCAGCCGCGGUAAUACGUAGGGCGCAAGCGUUAUCCGGAAUUAUUGGGCGUAAAGAGCUCGUAGGCGGUUUGUCGCGUCUGCCGUGAAAGUCCGGGGCUCAACUCCGGAUCUGCGGUGGGUACGGGCAGACUAGAGUGAUGUAGGGGAGACUGGAAUUCCUGGUGUAGCGGUGAAAUGCGCAGAUAUCAGGAGGAACACCGAUGGCGAAGGCAGGUCUCUGGGCAUUAACUGACGCUGAGGAGCGAAAGCAUGGGGAGCGAACAGGAUUAGAUACCCCGGUAGUCC